GGGCCUUUAGCUCAGUUGGUUAGAGCGCUCGACUCAUAAUCGAACGGUCACUGGUUCAAGUCCAGUAAGGCCCA
rfam:Neptunomonas antarctica strain DSM 22306 genome assembly, contig: Ga0111702_101